ACAGUGGACGCGAGCAUCUUUGUGGUCAAAUUAUUAAGCGCACAUGGCGGAUGCCUUGGCAUCAGAAGCCGAUGAAGGACGUAGUAGGCUGCGAUAAGCCUCGGGGAGCUGUCAAACGAGCUUUGAUCCGAGGAUUUCCGAAUGGGGAAACCCAGCCAGAGUAAUGUCUGGUUAUUUCUGCCUGAAUAUAUAGGGCAGAUAAAGGGAACGUGGGGAAGUGAAACAUCUCAGUACCCACAGGAAGAGAAAACAACCGUGAUUCCGUUAGUAGUGGCGAGCGAACGCGGAAGAGGCCAAACCAAUACUGUGCCAAGCCGGCAGGCGUUGCAGUAUCGGGGUUGUGGGACCAGUUAGAACUGACUGCCGUUAGUUCAAAGAGUAAAAAAUUAAUUGCGUAAGUGAAUGGCGUGGGAAAGCCAGGCACAGAGGGUGAGACCCCCGUAGCUGAAACGUGAUUAACUCUUUAUUGGUAUCCCAAGUAAUACCGGACUCGAGGAAUCCGGUAUGAAUCUGGCGGGACCACCCGCUAAGCCUAAAUACUCUCUGAUGACCGAUAGCGGACUAGUACCGUGAGGGAAAGGUGAAAAGAACCCCGUAAGGGGAGUGAAAUAGAAUCUGAAACCGUGUGCGUACAAGCCGUUGGAGCGACGUAAGUUGUGACAGCGUGCCUUUUGAAGAAUGAGUCUACGAGUUAGUGUCGUGUGGCAAGGUUAACCCGUCGAGGGGAAGCCGUAGCGAAAGCGAGUCUGAAUAGGGCGUCAGAGUCGCACGAUCUAGACCCGAAGCGAGGUGAUCUACGCAUGGUCAGGUUGAAGCGCGGGUAAGACCGCGUGGAGGACCGAACCCACUAAUGUUGAAAAAUUAGGGGAUGAACUGUGUGUAGGGGUGAAAGGCCAAUCAAACUUCGUGAUAGCUGGUUCUCUCCGAAAUGCAUUUAGGUGCAGCGUCACGUGUUUCUUACCGGAGGUAGAGCUACUGGAUGGUCGAGGGGGCCUACAAGCUUACCAACAUCAGCCAAACUCCGAAUGCCGGUAAGUGAGAGCGUGGCAGUGAGACUGUGGGGGAUAAGCUUCAUAGUCGAGAGGGAAACAACCCAGAAUAGCAACUAAGGUCCCAAAGCCUGUGCUAAGUGGAAAAGGAUGUGGAGUCGCAUAGACAACCAGGAUGUUGGCUUAGAAGCAGCCACCAUUAAAAGAGUGCGUAAUAGCUCACUGGUCAAGUGAUUCCGCGCCGACAAUGUAACGGGGCUCAAGCACAGCACCGAAGUUCUAUCAUUCACACAUUAUCCCGGUCGCAAGAUCCAGGAGUGUGGAUGGGUAGGAGAGCGUUGUGUAGCUGGUGAAGCGGCGGGGGAACCCAGCCGUGGAAGCUACACAAGUGAGAAUGUAGACAUGAGUAGCGAGAGAAGUGUGAGAAACAUUUCCGCCGAAAGACCAAGGGUUCCUGGGCCAGGCUAAUCCGCCCAGGGUAAGUCGGGACCUAAGGCGAGGCCGUCAGGCGUAGUCGAUGGACAACUGGUUGAUAUUCCAGUACCCGCUUUAAUUCGCCCAUAACGAAUCCACUAAUGCUAAGAGUCUGAAUCCUGUUCGGCGUAAGCCGCGUGGGUGGAUGGCUCGAACCGGUGUGGUAGUAGUUAAGCAAUGGUGUGACACAGGAAGGCAGUCCAACCCGGGCGAUGGUUGUCCCGGGGUAAGGUGGUAGGGAGUGAUGUAGGUAAAUCCGCAUCACACAUAUCCUGAGAGCUGAUGCCGAGCCGUAAGGCGAAGUGGAUGAUCCUAUGCUGUCAAGAAAAGCAUCUAGCGAGAAUUAUUGCGGCCCGUACCCGAAACCGACACAGGUGGUCAGGUAGAGAAUACCAAGGCGAUCGAGAGAAUCAUGGAUAAGGAACUCGGCAAAAUGCCCCCGUAACUUCGGGAGAAGGGGGGCCCUUCGACGUGUAGGAAUUUACUUCCGAAGCGUUGGAAGGCCGCAGAGACCAGGCUCAAGCGACUGUUUACCAAAAACACAGGUCCGUGCGAAGUAGCAAUACGAUGUAUACGGACUGACGCCUGCCCGGUGCUGGAAGGUUAAGGGGACUGGUUAGCCGCAAGGCGAAGCUGAGAACUUAAGCCCCAGUAAACGGCGGUGGUAACUAUAACCAUCCUAAGGUAGCGAAAUUCCUUGUCGGGUAAGUUCCGACCUGCACGAAUGGCGUAACGACUUGAGCGCUGUCUCAUCCGUGAACUCGGCGAAAUUGCAUUACGAGUAAAGAUGCUCGUUACGCGCAGAAAGACGGAAAGACCCCGGGACCUUUACUAUAUCUUGAUAUUGGUGUUCGGAACGGUUUGUGUAGCAUAGGUGGGAGACUUUGAAGCGGGCACGCCAGUGUUUGUGGAGUCAUCGUUGAAAUACCACUCUGAUCGUUUUGAACUUCUAACCUCGGUCCGUAAUCCGGAUCAGGGACAGUGUCUGGUGGGUAGUUUGACUGGGGCGGUCGCCUCCUAAAAAGUAACGGAGGCGCUCAAAGGUUCCCUCAACCUGGUUGGUAAUCAGGUGUCGAGUGUAAGUGCACAAGGGAGCUUAACUGUGAGACAGACAUGUCGAGCAGGUGCGAAAGCAGGAACUAGUGAUCCGGCGGUGGCUUGUGGAAGCGCCGUCGCUCAACGGAUAAAAGGUACCCCGGGGAUAACAGGCUGAUCUUGCCCAAGAGUCCAUAUCGACGGCAAGGUUUGGCACCUCGAUGUCGGCUCGUCUCAUCCUGGGGCUGGAGUAGGUCCCAAGGGUUGGGCUGUUCGCCCAUUAAAGAGGCACGCGAGCUGGGUUCAGAACGUCGUGAGACAGUUCGGUCCCUAUCUUCUGUGCGCGCAGGAAACUUGAGAAGGCCUAACCCUAGUACGAGAGGACCGGGUUGGACGAACCUCUGGUGUGUCGGUUGUUCCGCCAGGAGCACCGCCGAUUAGCUACGUUCGGAAGGGAUAACCGCUGAAAGCAUCUAAGCGGGAAGCUCGCUUCAAGAUUAGGUUUCCCACCGGUUUACCGGGUAAGGCCCCCAGCUAGACGACUGGGUUGAUAGGCCGGAAGUGGAAGAGUCGCAAGACUUGGAGCUGACCGGUACUAAUAGGCCGAGGAUUUAACUACAA
rnacentral:rRNA from 1 species